rnacentral:lncRNA from 1 species
GCUGCGCACUUCGGUCUUUUACGUCGGCCUUCGCGAGCGUCUGGGCGGGUGGUAGGUGAGUGGGUAUUGCGGGCUAGUAUCCGAGCAAAAGAUGGUGGCGCAGGCCGAGUUAAGAGCUUUAAUCCUGUGAAGACAUCUUAGUGAAGAGUUUAGAGUGCUGAGAGUUGAAAGCUUGCACGUGGGAAACGUGCGGCCGGACUGCCACAUGUACUGAGGUUGAGUCGUGACGGCCACAGGCUCCGAGUUUUGGCGUGAGGAACCGCUGAUCGGCCACGGGCGCCGAACUUGCUGGCCUCCGGCAUGUGCCUGAGCGGCGGCGGAAAAACCACCUUAAUUGGGGCGGAGGGUUAGUUUUAACAGCAAAGGGCCUUUACUAAAAUGGCGAAGGCCUUCCGUCGGCGUUGUUUUAAAAUGGGAAGCCUCGACCCUGUAUUGAAACUGAGCUGUUCGAAGGCGGCGUUGUGUGCAAUUCGGAUUAAUGAAGGGGAAGGGUUUUGUGUGGAAAAACGCCUUGGAGUGUGACAUUUCUGCGAGAAUGCUUAAAUACCGAUUUCCCGCAGGAACAAUGGCGCUGUCUUCAGUGGCACAGUGGAGCAGCUCUGAAGAUGCAAAGAUACACGAAAAAACUUCCAGAACAUCUGGGAGAAUAUUUAAUGGAAAAUCGCUUGGUUAAAACCUGACACUUUUAACAGUGAACAGCGUUCUGAGUGUGGACGAGUAGCCAGUGAAGAUAAUGAAUGUCGAAUGUGACUGACUAGCAGCUUCAUUUUGAAUGAGGGUCGCUGUCUGCCCAUUGAUAGAGGCCAGAUUGUCUUGGAAGUUCCAAAGUUGCAACGAUUUCUGGCUAGUGCCACGAGGUUUACUUGACUGUUGUGUGAAAAGCUGAUAAGAAAACCAUCCAGAAAAAAGCUCUUCGUUUUACAAACAUGAAAAUAAAACAUUUAGUUGAAUCCAUGGACAUGAAACCCACAGAUAUAGAGGGUUGGCCCGGUGCAGUGGCUCACGCCUGUAAUCCCAGCACUUUGGGAGGCCAAGGCGGGUGGAUCACCUGAGGUCAGAAGCUUGAGACCAGCCUGGCCAACAUGGUAAAACCCCAUCUCUACUAAUAAUACAAAACAAUUUGCUGGGCAUGGUGGUGCACGCUUGUAAUCCAAGCUACUCCAGAGGCUGAGGCAGAAGAAUCGCUUGAAUCCGAGAGGCAAAGGUUGCAGUGAGCCCAGAUCACACCACUGCUCUCCAACCUGGGCAACAAGAGCAAAACUCCGUCAAAAAAAAAAGAUACAGGGUCAACUGUACACAUUAAACACUUCUAUCAACUAGUGAUGUCAGUCUUGUCCAUUGUAUUAUUGCCUAUCUUACUAAACAGUCAUAUUUCAGGAAGUACAAUAUACUCAAAAACUAAGUUAAUGUUCUUUGUAGAUUUAUGGUUAAUGGAUGAUUCAUAUAAUAGAAACUUAAAUUUAUUUGACCAUUCUAUUUAAUAUAGAAUAAAUACAACUAGCCAGGCAUGGUGGCUCAUGUCUAUAAUGCCAGCACUUGGGGAGGCCAAGGUGGGAGGCUCACUUGAGCAUAGGAAUUCAAGGCCAGCCUGGGCAACACAAUGUGAGACCCGUCUCUAUGAAAAUUUUAAAAAUUAGCCAAGCAUGGUAACACAAGUCUGUGGUCCCAGCUACUUGGGAGGCUGAGGCGCGAGAAGUCCAGGAGGUCAACGCUGCAGUGAGCUGUGUGUGUGCCACUGCAUCCUAGCCUGGGCAACAGAGCAAGACCCUGUCUCAAAAAUAAAGAAUAAAUACAACCUAUUAAGCUUGAGAGAUCCAGUGAAAUCCAAAUAAGAGAAACUGUGUCCUACACAGUUUUCUGUUAACCAUUUUCUUGGUAUUUAAAUUAUUUAUCAAAUUUUAACUUCAAUAAAAAAUUAUUCUGGAGAACACAUACCUCUAGAGUAAGUAAAGUAUACACUUUCAAUUUUUAGACAUGAGGUUUUGAGGUGUUUGACUGUAUCUAAUUUCCUA